UUGCAGGACGCCAUGAGCCCCAACAGUCUUUGGAAGUGACAGGCCUGCUGUUUUGGUUGAGCUUGGAAUUCCAGGACCAAAUCCUUGUUUGUUUCAUAACAGCCCCUUGGCAGGAGUGGUGUGUCGCCAGGUGGAUUUGGAAGAUGUGGCACAGUCGAUAACAAGAGAGUUUGGAAGGCAAUGCUUUAAUAGAUUGUCAAGUUCAGCUUCAAGAUCAAAGAUUGGCAUCGGAGAAGUUUGGUACCAAAGGGUGACAUUCUUCGAUGCCGAAAAAAUCGAUGUAUGCAUCUUCAAGUACGAAGCCCCAACCAUAGCUGUCAGUGUAGAAGGUCUCGGAGAAUCAGCCAGUGACCAAGAACUCACAAGGAACCAAUACAACAAGGAGCCUGAGCAGCCAGAUGUGCGAUUGCUACAGUUGUUGAAAAGGAACUGACGAAGUGCAUCCAGCCCGCCUUUUAUAUUUCCAUACUGAGCGUGUGAGGGCAAAGUCCGGAUGCCGAGAGGAGCUAGAGCAAUCAGCCUCAGGGUCCCUGCACAGGCACAGUACCCAUUCUUAUGGGUUACAACGGAUGACAAUCCAGAUUAAAUGGAUGGUUUUCACAAUGGAGAAAAGCAAGCAACAAUGGUCCAAAAAAUCUGUACUAUUGCUAUAAAUGGUCUAUUGUGGGCAGUGAAGUACUGUAUUCAGGAUUAUGGAUGAUACUAAAUUGUUCACGGUGGUGAAAAAACUAAUCAGACUUUGAAAAGUGCAAACAUUUUAUCCAACAGGGUGAGUGGGAAACAAAAUGGCAAAUGAGAUCCAAAGCAGCAAAAUUAUCCCAACUUCAAAUAUACACUGAUGGGGUCAUAAGUGACUGGCUGACAUCCUGACUAAUGAAGACUAAGGAGGGACAACAGGGAUGCACCAGGUGUACUUGUGCAACUGCCCCAGUCCCCCUGCGCAUGCCUUGUUGUGCAAGAACCCUUCAAGUCUGGGAAGCAAUCUGCAAAUUCGUUUUUAAAAAAACCAAAAAAAACACCACAGCACAAUGUGUUUCUGAUCUUGCAGAGCACUUCGAAGUGUUAGCCCUGUGGUGCAAUAUUGUGUGCAGCAGACUGGAGGAGCUGCACGUGAACUCCAGGAAAGUACCCACAGAGCCUCCUUACAUGCACUCUUUGUUAAGAUGUCAGCCACUGUGUGCAUUCUAAGUGCCUGAUGUUUUAAACCAGUUGUUCAAGUAAGAACUAAUCAGACUACUUUCC